CUAAGAAUCUUGCGCAAUGGGCGAAAGCCUGACGCAGCAACGCCGCGUGGAGGACGAAGGCCUUCGGGUCGUAAACUCCUUUUGCGAGGGAAGAAGAUCUGACGGUACCUCGCGAAUAAGCCACGGCUAACUACGUGCCAGCAGCCGCGGUAAUACGUAGGUGGCAAGCGUUGUCCGGAUUUACUGGGCGUAAAGAGCCCGCAGGCGGUCCAAUAAGUUCUUGGUGAAAUCUCCUGGCUCAACUGGGAGGGUGCCUGGAAAACUGUUGGACUUGAGGCAGGGAGAGGGAUGUGGAAUUCCCGGUGUAGUGGUGAAAUGCGUAGAUAUCUGGAGGAAUACCGGUGGCGAAGGCGGCAUCCUGGACCAUUACUGACGCUGAGGCGCGAAAGCUAGGGGAGCAAACGGGAUUAGAUACCCCUGUAGUCCCUGAGCGGGCUGGCAAGGCGCAU
rnacentral:rRNA from 1 species